rnacentral:rRNA from 1 species
AGUGAACGCUGGCGGUAGGCCUAGCACAUGCAAGUCGAACGGCAGCACAGUAAGAACUUGCUCUUACGGGUGGCGAGUGGCGGACGGGUGAGGAAUACAUCGGAAUCUACUUUUUCGUGGGGGAUAACGUAGGGAAACUUACGCUAAUACCGCAUACGACCUACGGGUGAAAGCAGGGGAUCUUCGGACCUUGCGCGAUUGAAUGAGCCGAUGUCGGAUUAGCUAGUUGGCGGGGUAAAGGCCCACCAAGGCGACGAUCCGUAGCUGGUCUGAGAGGAUGAUCAGCCACACUGGAACUGAGACACGGUCCAGACUCCUACGGGAGGCAGCAGUGGGGAAUAUUGGACAAUGGGCGCAAGCCUGAUCCAGCCAUACCGCGUGGGUGAAGAAGGCCUUCGGGUUGUAAAGCCCUUUUGUUGGGAAAGAAAAGCAGCAGGCUAAUACCCCGCUGUUCUGACGGUACCCAAAGAAUAAGCACCGGCUAACUUCGUG